CCUGCCGCCAGGCAUGUCACGGUCGUUGCGACCCUCCGGUUUGGCCGCUACCCAGGCGCUGUAUAAAUCCACGCCGCCAGGGGAGCCGCGUACUGCACUAGCCGUCGCGCCUCCCCAAAACCCCAGGUCAUCGUUAACACCGGUAGAAAGAACGCGAGAGAGAGGAGAGAACUGCGGCCGCCAUGGCUGAUUCGCGGUCAAGCGUACGUCGAAUCAUCGGGGACCAGUCGGGGAGAUUCGCCAUGGCGCGAGGAACGUUUCUAUGGCCGCGCCAUAAUGGGGUGUCCCUCGGGACGUCUUUAAUUCCUCGCCGGAGAUCUAGCACCGCCGCGGAACCACACUUUGUCGUGGCCGGGGCUGUUCGUGCGGCAAUCAACGUGCGGUCACGAGGAUCUGAAGAAUCACCCUGGUAACUGGAAUCUCAAGUGUCAGGCAAGUUGUGCCCUUGAUCACUUAUUUUUUCUCAGCCAUGUUCUUAAUAUUCAUAAUGAUCUGCAUAGGUUAAUUUUGAUGGGAACCAAUAGGUUACCCCAGUUUUGGCAAUCUUUAUACCUUAUUGCCACUGAAUAUUUUUGGGUAGUACUUGCUAUUGCUUAUUGUGGUUUGGGUAUGGAGGUACACUAUUCAUGAUUACACUUUUAUUAUUUGUUUAUUAUUAUUGUUCAUGUUAAGAUCAUUAUGUUAAUGGGAACAUGGAGCGACCACCCGGGAAAACAGUGCUACCACAAGGGUAGUAUGGAAUGCACUUGGCUGAUUAACUAGGAAAGCUAGUGGAUGACUUUCUUACCCAAAAGGGGCAAGGGCAGUAGGGGAGUGGUCAGUGUAGGGAAGUCCUUGGGUUGAUUUUGCUGCGAUGACGGUCAGGCGAGGGAUUCCUGCACUGGAGCUUCCUAUAAACUGUAGCGGGAUUUCUGAAGCUAGUGGAACUUUGUAAAGGCCUCGUAGUGUUACCCUGCCUCGCCUCCUCGGUAGAGGUGUAUGGGAUUGGCCGUCUCUUGGCAGAUGGGUAACAUGACUUGUGGGUAAAGAUGUGCAACCUCUGCAGAGUGUAAAACUGGUAUACUAGCCGUGCUCACGGUCAUGAGCAGCUCGGACCCUCACAUGAUUAAUCUAUGGAAUUAAAACUCAAUUUGUCAUUUGCAUCGCAUUUGGGAUUAUUUUAUUAUUACUUUUAUUUACUAAGGUUUGGUAUUUACUUAUACUUAGUAAUUGCUAAUAAAAUUUUGACCAACUUAUAAAAGUAAUUCUCAGCUUCAGCCUUUAUUUUGUUGAUCAGCCUUACACUUCACAUGAACUCCCACCUUUGGUGAGUUCAUGCACAUGAUUCCCCACAACUUGUUGAGCUAUGAUCGUAUGUGAGCUCACUCUUGUUGUCUCACACCCCCAUAGGAAAAGAACGGGUGGUCGAAGAGGAGCCGCCUAACACUGAGGCUUUCGACUUGAUCUAGGUGGCGUCUCCUAGUCAGCUUUGUGGCGCCAGGGAAUAAUAUAUAGUUCGCUUUAUUUUAUCAUUUAUUUUUGUAAGACUUCCGCUAUGUAAUAAGUACAUUUAUGAUAUUUAUGACAUUUAUCUCUAUGCACUCUGUUAUUAUAUGUGUUGUCUUUUCUGGCACAUAUAUGAGAUGCACCUGACUUUGUUCCUUAAAUCCGGGUGUGACAAAGAUUUUGAAUCUCCUGGUCAAGACCGCCCUAACCAUUCCAUGGUGGGGAGUCGACUGCCUUCCUCUUUUGGCUUCGUGCUUCGCGAAGAAGUGUAUAGUCAACUUGAUUCUAGUCUAUAGGAGCAAGAACAGAACCAACAUCUAUAGACUUCUUCAGAGGCAUAACGAAGGUGCUAUUGCUGUUGUGGAUUCACUAGAGGUGGGCGUCAAUGUUGGUCACUCGUCUUUGAUACCCAAAAAAUAUAAAAAACAAGGUAACACAAAUAAAUCAAUCUUCUACUCCACCUUUUAAUUAACUCUUCUCAGAGAGAUUAAUUAAAGGAGAAGAUAAAAAAAGGUUAGAUAAAGAUGACAAGCAUGAAAUAUGUAAGACAUAAAGGUAAAACAAGCAACUCAUCUUGGUUGGACAUUACUUUACUCCAUUUUUUAUUAUAUGACUGAUGAUUAUAAUGAUACCUUCGGCUUUUACAAGCAACAAUACACAGGUAAGGAGAGAAAACAGCUUCAUAGGCGGAGCGUGUCAGUCCUUCUCGGCCAAAAACCAUCCCCUAUGAAUGGCACUAUUCCUCUAUUUAUAGUCGUGAGUACAGCUUCAUAAAAAUUACAAUCAUGCUCUCAAACCUAUACAUAUGAGGUACAUAGUUAACCAAGGGCACUGUCAUCCUUUUCCUCUGUAGCCUUGCUAAACAAGUCUUGAGGAUUUCAUCCUACUCUUGCCAGCUCCUUUAUCACGCGCGUAUAACACCGAUUUGAUACUUGUAGCUUCAUCUUUGUGAGUGUGACUGUUGGUCAUCAUCUCCAAACAAAGGUUCCCUUCGACAUUUACCCUAUUACUGAAAGUCGCCUAGAGGGGGGGUGAAUAGGGCGAAUCUGAAAUUUAACAACUUAAUCACAACUACAAGCCGGGUUAGCGUUAGAAAUAAGAACGAGUCCGAGAGAGGGUGUAAAACAAAUCGUGAGCGAAUAAAGAGUGUGACACGAGGAUUUGUUUUACCGAGGUUCGGUUUUCGCAAACCUACUCCCCGUUGAGGUGGUCACAAAGACCGGGUCUCUUUCAACCCUUUCCCUCUCGCAAAUGGUCCCUCGGACCGAGUGAGCUUCUCUUCUCAAUCAAACGGGAACAAACUUCCCCGCAAGGACCACCAGACAAUUGGUGUCUCUUGCCUUGGUUACAAUUGAGUUGUUUGCAAGAAAGAAUCAAAGAAGGAAGCAAUCCAAGCGCAAGAGCUCAAAAGAACACAACAAAUCUCUCUCUCUCUAAUCACUAGAGCUUUGUGUGGAGUUGGGAGAGAAUUUGAUCUAUUUGGUUGUGUCUAGAAUUGAAUGCUAGAUCUCUUGUAAGUAGUUGGAAGGUGGAAAACUUUGGAUGACUUGAAUGUGGGGUUGGUUGGGGUAUUUAUAGCCCCAACCACCAAACUAGCUGUUUGUUGGAGGCUGCUGUCGCAUGGCGCACCGGACAGUCUGGUGCGCCACCGGACACUGUCCGAUGCCCCAGCCACGUCACCAGGCCGUUGGGUUCCGACCGUUGGAGUUCUGACUUGUGGGCCCACCUGGCUGUCCGGUGGUGCACCGGACAUGCCCUGUAGGCUGUUCGGUGUGCCACCCGCGCGUGCUCUGCUCCUCUGCGCGUGCAGGCGCGCAUUUAAUGCGUUGCAGUCAACCGUUGCGCGCAAAGUAGCUGUUGCUCCGCUGUUACACCGGACAGUCUGGUGUGCACCGGACACUGUCCGGUGAAUCACCGGACUGUCCGGUGAAUUUUAGCGGAGCGGAUUCCCGAAGCUGGCGAGUUCAGAGUCGCUCUCCCUUGGGGCACCGGACACUGUCCGGUGGUGCACCGGACAGUCUGGUGAAUUAUAGCGAAGCGCCUCUGAAAAUUCCCGAAGGUGUUGAGUUCAGCUUGAAGUCCCCUGGUGCAUCGGACACUUGUCCGGUGGUGCACCAGACACUGUCCGAUGGCACACCGGACAGUCCGGUGCGCCAGACCAGGGCACACUUCGGUUGUCCCUUGCUCUCUUUGUUUGAACCCUUUUCUUGGUCUUUUUAUUGGCUUAGUGUGGAUCUUUGGCACCUGUAUAACUUAUAGACUAGAGCAAACUAGUUAGUCCAAUUAUUUGUGUUGGGCAAUUCAACCACCAAAAUCAAUUAGGAAAUAGGUGUAAGCCUAAUUCCCUUUCAAUUACACUUCAAACAAACUCAGAAAUAAUUUAUUAAUUAAUGUUUUGAGGACCUUCAGCUAAAGAGGGCCUCCAACAGCAUAGAGUAAGGAACAACUAGAAGAAUAGAUUGAUGCAGAUGAUGCAGAGCGUUAUCAGAGCCUUAUUGUGUAGAACGUGCUUAGUCCACAAAUGGAGAAGGCAGAGCAUAAUCAACCACAUACAUUGUUUCGAAUAAAGUGUGUCAUUAAGGAGCAUUUGUGUCGUUUGAUCAUUGAUGAAGGUAGCUCCAACAAUUUGGUUAGCAGCGAUAUGGUGGAGAAGCUUGCACUUACAACCAAACUGCUCCCACAUCCAUGUCAGAUUGUAAGGCCCAAAAUGUGUAUAAGAAAAAAUAUUAAUAAUAAUAAAAUAAAUAUAUGAAGAGAUGAAAUAGUAAAUUUAGAAAUCUCGAAUUAAACUUGAGUAUCGAGAAUCGAGAACUAAAUUUGAAAAAAACAAGAAUUAUUUUAGAAAAGAAGUAAUAGAAAAGUUUUCUACUCAACUAAAUGAUUAUGCAUUACCUUAAAUGGUGCACCAUAAGCAUUUAGUUACAUGAAUAUUUAAUUUUGAAGUAACUUUAAACUCAUACCCCUUAAUCAAAAUACCAUUUUCCUAAAAAGAAAGGAACCAUAUGAGUGUGUCUCAUAUUUCAAACAUUUAUCAAACAAAUAAAUCAAUUAAAAUAAAAAUAUAUCUAGUGCUCCAUAAUUGUUUGUGAGUAUGUAUUAAGUUUGAAUUCUUAAACUAUAUCCUAGAUUGGAAUUGGAAUUUUGUAAUGUAAAAAGAAAUUUAUUAAAGUCCAAAGUAGAAUUUUAAAGUCUAAAAGAAAUCCUAGAAUUUAGAAAAGAGAAAUGAUAUGAAAAUAUAAAUAAUAUAUAUAUAUAUAUCAUUUCAAAAGUGGUACUUUUAAUUUCACAAUAUAAUGUGAGGAAUAAAUUUGGCAUAAGGUUUGAAUUUAAAUUUGAAUUUAAAGUUGAAAGAAAGAAAAGGAAAAGAAAUAACCAAAAGAAAA